AGCUCCAAUAGCGUAUAUUAAAGUUGUUGCAGUUAAAAAGCUCGUAGUUGGAUUUCUGUCUCUUUUGGGAUGCGGUCCGCCCUUCAUGGGUGAGCACUGUUAUCCUGGGGACAUCCUCUCAAAGGCGUUAUGGUGCACUUAGUUGUGUGCUUAAUGAAUUUGGGAUCUUUACUUUGAAAAAAUUAGAGUGUUCAAAGCAGGCUUAUUGCUUGAAUAUAUUAGCAUGGAAUAAUGGAAUAGGACUUUGGUUCUAUUUUGUUGGUUUCUAGGACUGAAGUAAUGAUUAAUAGGGACAGUUGGGGGCAUUAGUAUUUAAUUGUCAGAGGUGAAAUUCUUGGAUUUAUGAAAGACUAACUACUGCGAAAGCAUUUGCCAAGGAUGUUUUCAUUA
rnacentral:rRNA from 1 species